GCAUGGACGAAUUCUGACUUACUGGUGGAAGUAGUAAAGUCGGCCAGACACCAUGCUACAUUAAAUACACACUGACGUCAUGAUAUUGGCCAUCACGUGGUUUAUUGUGACGUCAGAGUGAAAACAU